UUCAAUAUUCAAUGCAAUCACACAUUAUUUUCAUUCCUUUUUCUAUAGCAUAUAAAAACAUAUCUAUAGCAUAUAUAUAUACUAGCAUGUAUACAACCACCACCUCCUCACCCAGCUCAUGUGCAACCCCCACAUUGCGCACAUAGCUGGAGUCAUCAUGUGCAUCCCCCUACAUCGUGCACACCACCACUUCCUCACCGAGCUCAUGUGCAACCCCCACAUCUCUCACAUAGGUGGAGUCAUCGUGUGCAUCCGCCCACAUCGUGCACAGCUAAUACCAUCGUGUGCAUCCCCCCACAUCGUGCACAAGCAAUAUCAUCAUCCAC
rnacentral:lncRNA from 1 species